GCAUAUCAAUAAGCGGAGGAAAAGAAACCAACAGGGAUUGCCUCAGUAACGGCGAGUGAAGCGGCAUCAGCUCAAAUUUGAAAUCUGGCUCUUUUAGAGUCCGAGUUGUAAUUUGCAGAGGGCGCUUUGGCAUAGGCAGCGAUUCAAGUUCCUUGGAACAGGACGUCACAGAGGGUGAGAAUCCCGUACGUGGUCGCUAGCUCUUGCCGUGUAAAGCCCCUUCGACGAGUCGAGUUGUUUGGGAAUGCAGCUCUAAAUGGGAGGUAAAUUUCUUCUAAAGCUAAAUAUUGGCCAGAGACCGAUAGCGCACAAGUAGAGUGAUCGAAAGAUGAAAAAAACUUUGGAAAGAGAGUUAAACAGCAUGUGAAAUUGUUGAAAGGGAAGCGCUUGCAGCCAGACUUGCCUGUAGUUGCUCAUCCGGGCUCUUGCCCGGUGCACUCUUCUGUAGGCAGGCCAGCAUCAGUUUGGGCGGUUGGAUAAAGGUCUCUGUCAUGUACCUCUCUUCGGGGAGGCCUUAUAGGGGAGGCGACAUACAACCAGCCUAGACUGAGGUCCGCGCAUUCGUGCUAGGAUGCUGGCGUAAUGGCUGUAAGCGGCCCGUCUUGAAACACGGACCAAGGAGUCUAACAUCUAUGCGAGUGUUUGGGUGUCAAGCCCGAGCGCGUAAUGAAAGUGAACGGAGGUGGGAACCCCUCGGGGUGCACCAUCGACCGAUCCUGAUGUCUUCGGAAGGAUUUGAGUAAGAGCAUGGCUGUUGGGACCCGAAAGAUGGUGAACUAUGCUUGAAUAGGGUGAAGCCAGAGGAAACUCUGGUGGAGGCUCGCAGCGGUUCUGACGUGCAAAUCGAUCGUCAAAUUUGGGCAUAGGGGCGAAAGACUAAUCGAACUAUCUAGUAGCUGGUUCCUGC
rnacentral:rRNA from 1 species